rnacentral:misc_RNA from 1 species
UAUCGGCUGCGGGAUAACAGUCCCGAGUGACCUCGGCUUUGAUACGCAUGUGAGAUUUCCCUAUACGAUGACCCCGCCCACCUGCGCCGUUCACUGUAACGGUCUCGGCUACCGCUUCAUGGGGUUAGAUAACGGCGUGAAUUGCUACUGCGGUCGGGAGUACGGGAAACACGGCACGGCCGCCGAUAGCGAUUGCGAUCAGAGUCCGUGCACAGGGGACGGCAGCCCGAAGUGCGGCGGAUCCUACAGAACCGCCGCCUACAGGAUUCAUCCGGAUGGAGACUUCAGAGAAAUCUCAGCUAAAGACAGCAUGUUAGCAGGCGGUCAGGACAUAGGGCGCGUUGUCACGGCAACCCCGAUGGCUGUUCAAACGAAGUUGGAAUGUGCUGGAUACUGUCUGACGUCAGCACCUUGCUGGGGCCUCGUCUGGAUUACCGGUCAGGUCCAGAACUGUGUUCUCAUCUCAGCUCAUAGUAGCCCAGAGCCUUACACCAUACAUGCAGCAGGAAGAUAUUACCAUAUCUAAAUAGCGAGAGCGAAGGAGAGGGAGCGCACGAGAGAGCUAGAGAGCUAUAGAGAGCUAGAGAGAGAGAGAGAGAGAGAG